AAAAUACUCCCUCCGUUCCAAAAUAGAUGACUCAACUUUGUACUAACUUUAGUACAAAGUUAAUACAAAGUUGGGUCAUCUAUUUUGGAACGGAGGGAGUAUAUC
rnacentral:pre_miRNA from 1 species